GCCUGUGUGGCUCAGUAGUUGAGCAUCUGCCUUUGGCUCAGGUCAUGAUCCCAGAGUCCUGGGAUCAAGUCCCACAACGGGCU
rnacentral:tRNA from 1 species